rnacentral:rRNA from 1 species
GACGAACGCUGGCGGCGUGCUUAACACAUGCAAGUCGAACGGAAAGGCCCUGCUUUUGUGGGGUGCUCGAGUGGCGAACGGGUGAGUAACACGUGAGUAACCUGCCCUUGACUUUGGGAUAACUUCAGGAAACUGGGGCUAAUACCGGAUAGGAGCUCCUGCUGCAUGGUGGGGGUUGGAAAGUUUCGGCGGUUGGGGAUGGACUCGCGGCUUAUCAGCUUGUUGGUGGGGUAGUGGCUUACCAAGGCUUUGACGGGUAGCCGGCCUGAGAGGGUGACCGGCCACAAUGGGACUGAGAUACGGCCCAGACUCCUACGGGAGGCAGCAGGGGGGAAUAUUGCACAAUGGGCGGAAGCCUGAUGCAGCAACGCCGCGUGCGGGAUGACGGCCUUCGGGUUGAAAACCGCUUUCGCCUGUGACGAAGCGUGAGUGACGGUAAUGGGUAAAGAAGCACCGGCUAACUACGUG